rnacentral:rRNA from 1 species
GACGUAGGGCGCGAGCGUUGUCCGGAUUUAUUGGGCGUAAAGAGCUCGUAGGCGGCUUGUCGCGUCGUCCGUGAAAACCCGCAGCUUAACUGCGGGCUUGCGGUUGAUACGGGCGGGCUAGAGUUCGGUAGGGGAGACUGGAAUUCCUGGUGUAGCGGUGAAAUGCGUAGAUAUCCGGAAGAACACCGGUGGCGAAGGCGGUGGUCUGGACCAAAACUGACGCUGAGGAGCGAAAGCCAGGGGAGCAAACGGG